GGACUACCCGCUGAACUUAAGCAUAUCAAUAAGCGGAGGAAAAGAAACCAACAGGGAUUGCCUCAGUAACGGCGAGUGAAGCGGCAAAAGCUCAAAUUUGAAAUCUAGCACCUUCGGUGUUCGAGUUGUAAUUUGAAGAUGGUAACCUUGGGUUUGGCUCUUGUCUAUGUUCCUUGGAACAGGACGUCAUAGAGGGUGAGAAUCCCGUCUGAUGAGAUGCCCAUUCCUAUGUAAGGUGCUAUCGAAGAGUCGAGUUGUUUGGGAAUGCAGCUCUAAGUGGGUGGUAAAUUCCAUCUAAAGCUAAAUAUUGGCGAGAGACCGAUAGCGAACAAGUACAGUGAUGGAAAGAUGAAAAGAACUUUGAAAAGAGAGUGAAAAAGUACGUGAAAUUGUUGAAAGGGAAGGGCAUUAGAUCAGACUUGGUGUUUUACGAUUAUCUUCUCUUCUUGAGUUGUGCACUCGUAUUUCACUGGGCCAGCAUCGAUUCGGAUGGCAAGAUAAUGGCAGUUGAAUGUGGCUUCACUUCGGUGGAGUGUUAUAGCUUCUGCUGAUAUUGCCUGUCUGGAUCGAGGGCUGCGUCUUUGACUAGGAUG
rnacentral:rRNA from 1 species